AUACUUACCUAGACGGGGUCAAUGAAUGAUCAAUAAUGCUCAUGGCCUAGAUUGAUAUCUCACAUUGCACAUAGUGAGCAUGUCGGUCCAUCAUGUCCUUUUCGUGGGAGAGUGAACGUCAUAGAGGGGCAACUGUCCGCCCGAUCCCUAC
rfam:Triticum aestivum genome assembly, contig: Triticum_aestivum_CS42_TGACv1_scaffold_592138_7BS